UAUUUUCUGAAAAGUCUUUUGCCUGUCAUUUGUUGUACAAUUAUGUUUGUAGGUUAUUGUUAUAUGUGUAUAACUUUAUAUAUAUCUAAAAUGGAAAAACAAUUACCUCUAAUAUUCUUGAUAUUCGUUAUAGUAAUUGAUACACAAAUAUCUAAAAUGGGAAAACAAUUACAUCAUUAUGGUACCAUCUCCAUUUAUCCAAGGCAAUAUUGGCCUACAUAAAUUAGAAUCGCCAAGAUGGAGUUCAAAUGUGUCACCCUCCUGAUGCCUUCCCGAAGAGACUCUGGCUUGAUGACAGCUCUCAAUCUCAUCAACAUUUUGUGUAUUACUAGAGGAUUGAACGUCUUCAGGAAGGUUUAGAAUUGUAACUCUGUGCACAUCUUCAGCAUUCAUGCUUAUGUACUUCUGUACAUUUUCCCCACCAUCUUCAUGAUCAUUGGGAUGAAGGGUCAACUGCU
rnacentral:lncRNA from 1 species